GACGAACGCUGGCGGCGUGCUUAACACAUGCAAGUCGAACGGAGUGGCGAACGGGUGAGUAACACGUGGGUGACCUGCCCUGCACUUCGGGAUAAGCCUGGGAAACUGGGUCUAAUACCGGAUAGUGUGGGAUGGGCGCGCGGCCUAUCGGCUUGUCGGUGGGGUAAUGGCCUACCACGGCGGCGACGGGUAGCCGGCCUGGGAGGGUGGACGGCCACAGUGGGACUACGGGACGGCGCAGACUGGUACGGGGGGCAGCGGGGGGGAAUAUUGCACAAGGGGCGGAAGUCUGAUGAGGAGACGCUGCGGGGGUGAUGACGGCCUUCGGGUGGUGAACGCCUUUCGGCAGGGACGCGGUACCUGCAUAAGAAGCACCGGCUAACUACGUGCCAGCAGCCGCGGUAAUAC
rnacentral:rRNA from 1 species